rnacentral:tRNA from 1 species
GGCUGUGUAGCUCAGUUGGUCAGAGCGCGCCACUCAUAAUGGCGAGGUCGGCGGUUCAAGCCCGCCCACAGCUA